rnacentral:rRNA from 1 species
GUCGAACGCUGAAGCUCCAGCUUGCUGGGGUGGAUGAGUGGCGAACGGGUGAGUAACACGUGAGUAACCUUCCCUUGACUCUGGGAUAAGCCCGGGAAACUGGGUCUAAUACCGGAUAUGACUUCUCAUCGCAUGGUGGGGGGUGGAAAGAUUUAUCGGUCUUGGAUGGACUCGCGGCCUAUCAGCUUGUUGGUGAGGUAAUGGCUCACCAAGGCGACGACGGGUAGCCGGCCUGAGAGGGUGACCGGCCACACUGGGACUGAGACACGGCCCAGACUCCUACGGGAGGCAGCAGUGGGGAAUAUUGCACAAUGGGCGCAAGCCUGAUGCAGCGACGCCGCGUGAGGGAUGACGGCCUUCGGGUUGUAAACCUCUUUCAGUAGGGAAGAAGCGAAAGUGACGGUACCUGCAGAAGAAGCGCCGGCUAACUACGUGCCAGCAGCCGCGGUAAUACGUAGGGCGCGAGCGUUAUCCGGAAUUAUUGGGCGUAAAGAGCUCGUAGGCGGUUUGUCGCGUCUGCCGUGAAAGUCCGGGGCUUAACCCCGGAUCUGCGGUGGGUACGGGCAGACUAGAGUGCAGUAGGGGAGACCGGAAUUCCUGGUGUAGCGGUGAAAUGCGCAGAUAUCAGGAGGAAC